GUGGGGAAUAUUGGACAAUGGGCGAAAGCCUGAUCCAGCCAUGCCGCGUGUGUGAAGAAGGCCUUUUGGUUGUAAAGCACUUUAAGCGAGGAGGAGGCUACCGAGAUUAAUACUCUUGGAUAGUGGACGUUACUCGCAGAAUAAGCACCGGCUAACUCUGUGCCAGCAGCCGCGGUAAUACAGAGGGUGCGAGCGUUAAUCGGAUUUAGUGGGCGUAAAGCGUGAGUAGGCGGCUUUUUAAGUCGGAUGUGAAAUCCCUGAGCUUAACUUAGGAAUUGCAGUCGAUACUGGGAAGCUAGAGUAUGGGAGAGGAUGGUAGAAUUCCAGGUGUAGCGGUGAAAUGCGUAGAGAUCUGGAUGAAUACCGAUGGCGAAGGCAGCCAUCUGGCCUAAUACUGACGCUGAGGUACGAAAGCAUGGGGAGCAAACAGGAUUAGAUACCCUUGUAGUCC
rnacentral:rRNA from 1 species